rnacentral:rRNA from 1 species
AGAGUUUGAUCAUGGCUCAGGAUGAACGCUAGCGGCAGGCUUAACACAUGCAAGUCGAGGGGCAGCAUAAUGGAUAGCAAUAUCUAUGGUGGCGACCGGCGCACGGGUGCGUAACGCGUAUGCAACCUACCUUUAACAGGGGGAUAACACUGAGAAAUUGGUACUAAUACCCCAUAAUAUCAUAGAAGGCAUCUUUUAUGGUUGAAAAUUCCGAUGGUUAGAGAUGGGCAUGCGUUGUAUUAGCUAGUUGGUGGGGUAACGGCUCACCAAGGCGACGAUACAUAGGGGACUGAGAGGUUAACCCCCCANACUGGUACUGAGACACGGACCAGCUCCUAUGGGAGGCA